rfam:Aedes aegypti strain Liverpool supercont1.93 genomic scaffold, whole genome shotgun sequence.
GGUUCGGUAGCUUGGUUGAUAAGCGCUCGUCUAGCAUACAAGAGUCCUGGGUUCGAAUCCCAGCCGAGCAC